UAGAAAACCAACCUAGUCCCGCACCUCCUCUGCCCUGAUUCGUCCCACGUCACCCCAUCCUGCCCCGGGAACUAGCCACCGCGCCGCCACCGGUCCCAAAAUCAGGUCGCCGCGCCACUCCCUCCCCGGGAUUCGGCCGCCGCGCCACCAACCGGCCCCGGAUCCGGCCGCUGCGCCACCCCGUCCAUGAAUCCGACCGCCGCGCCGCCUUUGCCCUGGAUCCGACCCCACUGCUGCCUGCCACCAUCAUGCAACGGCCUUGCCGCUGUUUCUGGAACAUGGUCGCGCCGCUGCGUAUGGUGCGCCGCCGUGCCUCUCCUGCCACCCAGGCUACUCGGCCUCACCUAGCUCGUCCUACCAAUGACGACCUCCUGCCAUGUGCGCCUCCUUCCUGCUCCACCCCGGCCACGAGCGCCUCCCCGGUUUCUCUGUUCGCUGCCACCAGCCGCCAUCGACGGCACGCCUAGCAGUGUACCGCCAUUGCCAACCAUCAGCCUCCUACCGACCCCCAGCUGCUUCGCCCGUUGCCAUGUUGAACUUCUCGUGGAGGCCGCUUUGACCUUCCUGAGUUAGCUUCAUAUUUGUUUUUUUUUUGUGCUCGACGGUGAGACACGAUCUCCUUCAGCUCUCUUGUUCUUCCUGCAAACAAGGUCGGGUUCAGUUUUGGUGGCUUGACGCUGCAUGCUCUGGUUGCUACUUGAACUGCUUGCUGCACCUGUUACACCUUCUCCUCCUAGUCCUCAAUCAAUGGACACAACAUGGCUGUAAUGUUCCUGCUAUUCAAAUUACUCUAAACUUGUAUGGUCGACACUUCAAUUUUUCGCUCUUCCAGGUGGCAUUCAGAAGCUCAGCUCGGCGCCAUGCAGGAUGCUGCAGAGCUGCCGUGGUGAGCCUGCUGAGUAGAGGUCGAGGCGCUGGAGUCCGGCGGCGCUGCUGCAUGCCAUGUGCUCUUUUUGGCUGAGGUCGAGCUGCUGGAGUGCGGUGGUGCUCGUUACCCUCCUAGAGUCCGGUGUUGCUGUUGGCUUUAUCUUGUUGCUGUUUGUCUAACUGUGAGAGAGAGCAUGUAUUUUCUCUUCCUGUACACUUACUACUCUGAAUAAUUGGAUCCCGUCAGUAGGUUGGUGUUGUACUAAAUAAUGCAACGUAAUUAACAAUCUACGUGUUUGGGUUGCACUGUCGCUAGUGUAUUUCCUACAGUUUGUAUAGUUUCCUUAGUUUCUUUCGAUUUGUACUUUCAUUUUGUUAAAUAUAUGUCUCUUGAUGAAAUCCUUACCUGUACAACAUUGAGAGGUGGAAGUGUGCAGGGACGCACCGUCCAAGUCCCAAUUGCCCUGACGGUGACCCAACACCAUCACAGUCCAGCCCCGUAGCGUCAGGGAGGUCGAGGCCAUCGCGAGCAGAAGUCCAUAGCAGAAGGUGAUGGUCAGCGUAGCACUUCCAUCCCAUCCAUGUUCAGCAUAUUUUUGAUUUUGGGUAGCAACAAUGCGUAAUGUAUGGAAGCCAGUCAGGCUCGCACUUCCUCAUCUCCCGCUGUCGGCGACGACACUCCCUUCCUCCAGCGCCGCACGUCACCGGCGCGGCCAACCGCCUACACCGGCUUCGAUUGCAACCAUGGCGUCUCUUUCUGUCAACCUCUUCGUCUCCCCUGCACGUCAGUUUGACUGCCUAUAAACAAAAUUCUUUAGUUUACAUGUCUGAAAUUAAGGAGUUCAUGGUAUGCAUUAUAACAAAAAUUGCUGAAUUUUUAGCAGUUCUACUACAUAUGUUAAGAGUUCAUUGACAAAAGAAAAUCAUCAAUUCGGCAAUGGAAUCUGCAAAUGUUUAUGGUGCAGAAAAUUUCAUAACCGGUGUUCGAGUUUGUUUGACCGAGAAAGGAAGAUACUUGGCUGGAAGAAGUUCAUUCGUUAUGACACUGAUAGCUAAAAUCCUCUCUCCAUCAACUCAUGUAAUCUGUCGCAUUCGGCACCUGAGGAUGACUCUCCCUAGGAGACGAAGAACCCAACCGAUGCUUCUUAGUUGAGGCACGUCAGGAGCUCCCCUCCUAUGGUGUAGUGGCACAAAACUGUGUGUGUGGACGCGUUGUUGUGUCAGCUGAAGAAGUUCAAAUGCAGGGAAACAGGAACUACGCCAUGUACUAGGGCUAUGUGUCGGCCUCGUUGAAGUUCUACUAAGCUAUACGCCAGAUUUACCGGUUAUUGGUGAAAAAAAACAGUUAUUAACCAAACACUUUUUCA